CCAACAAAUACUAUCUGAGAUAUUAGAUAGUAACCGGAAAGAAAUCCAAACUAAUGACAGAAAAACCCAAUGAAUUAGUUUUUACACUUCAUAGAAUCUCUAGAAUAAGAAUAGACAAACAAUUAUCCAUUAUUUAUCAAUCAUUACAGAAUAUGUGACUUACACUGUGGUAGUAUAGUAAACAACAACCCUUCAGUUAAUAUUUCCAUCUCCAAUCAGUGAACUUUGUAACAGAAAAUCAAAAUAUAUAAAGUCAGCGGAAGUGAUGUAAAACUCCACUCUGGAACGGCUCUAGCAUCGUAAGUAGCAAGUUUAGUUUUAACUCCAUAAAUUUACUUACGGAACCAUUAAACCGUUUCGGAAAGCCUUUUAUUGUCUCACGCCAGAUUUCUAUGAUUUAUAUUCAAGACGGUUUAAAAUGAGUCGUUUUGUUAACAGUAAAUUGGUGCUUCAGUGGAAGGAACAUUAACGAGUUAAACUUUUCAGAUCAUUAAUCACAUGUAUUUACGAAUUAAUGCUGACAGUCCUGAAAUAUAUAUUUCAAAGUAGGUUUUUCUUUAUCAGGUUAUCAUUUAAUAAAAUAUAGGCUAUAUCACUAUGACUGCAGGGUCUAUGCACCUUUUUGCUGCUUGAAGACAAACUGCAUAGAUAAUUUCAUUUCUUUUUUUCAUUUUGGAAAAUCAUUGUUAAUCUCAUCUGAUUUAUCCUCUUAAAUCAGAGCGAUCAAAGUGUCGGAUAAUAGUAGAUUAGAUUAGAUUCUUUCUCAAACUGGGAUCCCUGGACCAUAGUUUGGUACAGCUAGCUUACCAAAGGAUUGUGUUAAAAAAUAAUAAUGGAUAAUUGGGUUAAGACAAUUUAUACCACAGCAGAUACAGAAAACUACAAAUGAAACGAUUCAAUCCUAUAAAAAUCUAUUGUCAAUCUCUUUAUGUUAAAUAAAUUUAAAAAAUAUGACAUUAUACAAAUAUUUAGUCAUUAUUCCAUCUAUAGUUUGAGUCAUGCAGAACUGAUGUGAUCGUUUCCAUAGCAACGAUCAGAAGCAAGACCUUGCACCAGAGCUCCAGUGAGGUCAUUGAUGACCUCAUAGACCUUCUAUGAUGACCUCAUAGAAGGUCAAUGACACUUUGAAUGCGUGUAACUCAGUUCAUCGUCAGUCAGGAUCCAAACAGUUCAGUGAAACACAGCUUCGUAUUGGACAAAGAUUUUUAAUAUUUUAGAGAUGCCUUACCCCUUAAUUUUUCCUGUUGGUUGGGGACUUGGUUACCUGGUCACAACAGGAAUGAAGAAAUUGUUUGACCACUACCUGCCAGAAAAGGACUUGGACCAGGAUGCCACUCAGGACGAGACUGCUUCAUUUGGGAACGAACCUACAACGGUUCCCCAAGACCAAACUGACCCGGCUGGGUCAGUUUCUCUUGAAGACGAGCCAGUUUUCUUCGAAGACACUGAGAUUAAUUCGACGAAGAUUUCAGAAGACAGUACAGAGGACGAGAGCACUUCAUUUGGGAAUGAACUUUCAACGGUUCCCCAACACCAAACUGACCCGGCUGGGUCAGUUUGUCUUGAAGACGAGCCAGUUGACUUCGAAGACACUGAGAUUAAUUCGACGGAGAUUUCACAACGCAGUACAAAGGACGAGAGCACUUCCAUUGGGAAUGAACUUUCAACGGUUCCCCAAGACCAAACUGACCCGGCUGGGUCAGUUUGGUCUGUCAACCAGAAAGUCGACUGUGAAGCCUCUGCAGUGGAUUUGACUAAGACAUCGUCUCUCGACGCAACUCAGGAUGUGAGUUCAGUCUUUGGGAACAAUUUGCCCGUUGUUCCCAAAGAAAAAACUGACCCGGCUGGGAAAGUUUUUUCGGGGACUGAACUCGCAGAGAAACCUCUGAUGCUCGACGGCACAUUUUCCAGCUCCUCUGACAUGAAGAGUUCCUCCGACGAGGAAUUCAUUUCAGAGGGACGAACACUUUACAAUGAAAACAGAGUCCGAGAUCUGUCUGUGAACCCAUUGUUGAAGCGUAGGGUUACUGUAGAUCCUGAAUUAGACUGCACCCCAGAAGGGGAAGCUGGUUUGACGGACAGGAUCAGCAAUGAAACCCCACCAAAUGAUGGUUCUUCAACGUUUCCCAAAGACAAAACUACCCCGGCCGGGGUAGUGGUCUCUCAGGACAAGAGAAAUGUCUUGGGAAACCAGUACUGCACUGUUCCUCAACAACAAACUGACCCGGAUGGGAAAGUUGUACAUGAGGAACAAAGCAGGUUGAGACAGACAGAGGGCGACAUCUGUAGAUUUGUAAACAGAUUCAAUAACAGCUGGAUGAGUGCCGGUUUUCAGAGUGUUCUCCACCUGAGUGUCACCAGACGGUGUCUGGCCCAGAGACACCUGUUCAAAGAGGCUUCGUCAAUCCCAAACUGUGCCUCUCUGAUCCACACUGCCAUCCACCAACCAGGAUAUUUGUUUUCCCCAGCAGAAAUCUCCCCAGUUCUGAUGGAACUGAGGGAGAGAGAACCGUCACCAGACGUGGGGAAACAAUAUGAAAUAUCUUGUUUACUGGAGUCGGUUCUUGUCUGGCUCGACUCAUACGGUGGCAGCACAGAUCGAGAAAUGUACUGCACAAACACCUGCAGUGAUUGUGGAACAUCUUUCUCACAGAUCCUAAAUAACGGCCCUAUUGUUGUGCUUCCGACCUCGACUACACUUAACGACACUGUUUCUUUAUUUAACAACUGGAUAAAUAUGUGGCGCCCACCUUCUUGUUCCAGUUGCAGGUCCGGCUUAGAUCGUAAAAACAUCCUGAGCAACAACCAAGUGAUUGUUUUGUUUCUGCCACAGUGGGUCACUAGAAAAUACCCAGUGGUUCCCAAUCCAGUGAUGGAGGUACCAGGAGAAAGUGGAACUGAGGUGUACUGUCUGUCGUCCGUCAUCUGUAGAGAUGCUGAAUCAGCUAAUUUCUACACCUAUUUGAUUCAGGGACGACAGACAGUAAAGGUGGUGGAUGAGUAUGUCCUCACUGCUGGUAAAUCCUGCAGUGAGGACAUGAAUGUAAGGGGAUUUAUUUAUGUCUAUGAGAAGCGAGGGAAUGUAGAAGAACCCCACAGUGACCACCUAAACACACCUAGUGUGACAGUUUCUCCUGGCCCUCCUCUCCAGAAUGAUGAAGAAAGUUCUGUAGAGGAGCCAGAACCUCCAAGUCUGGAAGAACAGAAUAACGCAGAGGACGAAACAAGCGGCCAUUUUGAGGAAGAAGAAAGUGAACCAUCAGCUGGUGUAAUGUUGCAGAUCAGCCACUAGAUGUCACUGCCAACGGCUACAAACAUGGCGUCACGAAGAAAGUCCUGGGAACACCGAAAGCUAGGUCUCUGUUGUGUAAACUGGAGCUUUUUCACUCGUUCCUGUCUCUCGUAGCGGCCACUGACCCUUCGGCUCUGCCCGACUCUCUCAG